UACGGAGGGUGCAAACGUUGCUCGGAAUCAUUGGGCGUAAAGCGCACGUAGGCGGUCCCGUAAGUCGGAUGUGAAAGCCCUCGGCUCAACCGAGGAAGUGCAUUCGAAACUGCUGGGCUUGAGUACGGAAGAGGGUCUCGGAAUUCCCGGUGUAGAGGUGAAAUUCGUAGAUAUCGGGAGGAACACCAGUGGCGAAGGCGGAGACCUGGGCCGAUACUGACGCUGAGGUGCGAAAGCGUGGGGAGCAAACAGG
rnacentral:rRNA from 1 species